UACGUAGGGUGCAAGCGUUAAUCGGAAUUACUGGGCGUAAAGCGUGCGCAGGCGGUUAUGAUAAGACAGUGUGAAAUCCCCGGGCUCAACCUGGGAACUGCAUCUGUGACUGUAGAGCUGGAGUACGGUAGAGGGGGAUGGAAUUCCGCGUGUAGCAGUGAAAUGCGUAGAUAUCGGGAGGAACACCAGUGGCGAAGGCGACUACCUGGCCUGUUCUUGACGCUGAGGCGCGAAAGCUAGGGGAGCAAACGGG
rnacentral:rRNA from 1 species